AUUGAACGCUGGCGGCAUGCCUUACACAUGCAAGUCGAACGGCAGCACGGGUGCUUGCACCUGAUGGCGAGUGGCGAACGGGUGAGUAAUACAUCGGAACAUGUCCUGUAGUGGGGGAUAGCCCGGCGAAAGCCGGAUUAAUACCGCAUACGAUCUACGGAGGAAAGCGGGGGACCUUCGGGCCUCGCGCUAUAGGGUUGGCCGAUGGCUGAUUAGCUAGUUGGUGGGGUAAAGGCCUACCAAGGCGACGAUCAGUAGCUGGUCUGAGAGGACGACCAGCCACACUGGGACUGAGACACGGCCCAGACUCCUACGGGAGGCAGCAGUGGGGAAUUUUGGACAAUGGGCGAAAGCCUGAUCCAGCAAUGCCGCGUGUGUGAAGAAGGCCUUCGGGUUGUAAAGCACUUUUGUCCGGAAAGAAAUCCUUGGCCCUAAUACGGUCGGGGGAUGACGGUACCGGAAGAAUAAGCACCGGCUAACUACGUG
rnacentral:rRNA from 1 species